AUUGAACGCUGGCGGCAUGCCUUACACAUGCAAGUCGAACGGUAACAGGUCUUUCGGGAUGCUGACGAGUGGCGAACGGGUGAGUAAUACACCGGAACGUGCCUAGUAGUGGGGGAUAACUACUCGAAAGAGUGGCUAAUACCGCAUGAGAUCUAUGGAUGAAAGCAGGGGACCUUCGGGCCUUGUGCUACUAGAGCGGCCGAUGGCAGAUUAGGUAGUUGGUGGGAUAAAAGCUUACCAAGCAUACGAUCUGUAGCUGGUCUGAGAGGACGAUCAGCCACACUGGGACUGAGACCCGGCCCAGACUCCUACGGGAGGCAGCAGUUGGGAAUUUUGGACAAUGGGCGCAAGCCUGAUCCAGCAAUGCCGCGUGCAGGAUGAAGGCCUUCGGGUUGUAAACUGCUUUUGUACGGAACGAAAAGUCUUGGGUUAAUACCCUGGGAUCAUGACGGUACCGUAAGAAUAAGCACCGGCUAACUACGUGCCAGCAGCCGCGGUAA
rnacentral:rRNA from 1 species